GCACUUAUAUAUUCAAGGUGGAAUCUAGAGAAGGUCCGCUUUCUCUGCUAUCGAGAGCAACAUGGCUAUGCAGAUUUGGGUUUGUCCCUUAUCGGUGAAGUUUUACUUUCAGUUCCACAAGGUAGAUCAGCAGAAAAUGGGCUGGAGAGACCAUCAGUCUAUACCUAAUGCCGUGGGAUGGGAACUAAACAGAGGCAAGAAGAUUUCCAGGUGUAUAAGGCUUGCUGAAUCCAUGGAUCCAAUGAGGUUGGCCAUUUCUGCAGCAGAUCAGAAUUUAAAACU